rnacentral:rRNA from 1 species
AAACCAACAGGGAUUGCCCUAGUAACGGCGAGUGAAGCGGCAACAGCUCAAAUUUGAAAUCUGGCCCUCGGGUCCGAGUUGUAAUUUGUAGAGGAUGCUUUUGGCGCGGUGCCUUCCGAGUUCCCUGGAACGGGACGCCUUAGAGGGUGAGAGCCCCGUACGGUUGGACACCAAGCCUCUGUAAAGCUCCUUCGACGAGUCGAGUAGUUUGGGAAUGCUGCUCUAAAUGGGAGGUAAAUUUCUUCUAAAGCUAAAUAUUGGCCAGAGACCGAUAGCGCACAAGUAGAGUGAUCGAAAGAUGAAAAGCACUUUGAAAAGAGGGUUAAAUAGCACGUGAAAUUGUUGAAAGGGAAGCGUUUGCGACCAGACCUUUUCCUGGCGGAUCAUCCGGUGUUCUCACCGGUGCACUGCGUCAGGUUUAGGCCAGCAUCGGUUUUCGCAGGGGGAUAAAAGCUCUGGGAACGUAGCUCCUCCGGGAGUGUUAUAGCCCUCUGCAUAAUACCCUUGCGGGGACCGAGGACCGCGCUUCGGCAAGGAUGCUGGCGUAAUGGUCGUCAACGAC